AUCCUACGGGGGGCAGCAGUGAGGAAUAUUGGUCAAUGGGCGAGAGCCUGAACCAGCCAAGUCGCGUGAAGGAUGAAGGAUCUAUGGUUUGUAAACUUCUUUUAUAUGGGAAUAAAGUUUUCCACGUGUGGAAUUUUGUAUGUACCAUAUGAAUAAGGAUCGGCUAACUCCGUGCCAGCAGCCGCGGUAAUACGGAGGAUCCGAGCGUUAUCCGGAUUUAUUGGGUUUAAAGGGAGCGUAGGUGGAUUGUUAAGUCAGUUGUGAAAGUUUGCGGCUCAACCGUAAAAUUGCAGUUGAAACUGGCA
rnacentral:rRNA from 1 species